AAAACAUGUCCUUUUGAUUAUAAUUUAAGGUCUGGCCUGCUCAAUGAUUAAUUAAAUAGCCGCGAUAAUCUGAUCGUGCGAAGGUAGCAUAAUCAUUAGUUUUUUAAUUGGGAACUGGAAUGAAGGGUUGGACGAGAUUGGGACUGUCUCAAGCUUAAUUAAUUGGAAUUUUAUUUCUGGGUCAAAAAGCCUAGAUUUUUCUUAAAGACGAGAAGACCCUAUAGAGUUUAAUAUUUUCUAAUGUUGGACUUGUUGAGGAAUUGAUUUGGUUUAUAUUAGGAAUUAUUUAAUUGGGGUGAUUGAAGAAAUGAUUUAACUUCUUUUUUUUUGAACACUAAUUAGUGAGUUGAUUGAUCCAUGAUUUUGAUUAAAAGAUAAAAUUACCUUAGGGAUAACAGCGUAAUUUUUUUUGAGAGUUCUUAUCGAAAAAGGAGUUUGCGACCUCGAUGUUGGAUUAAAGUUUAUUUUUGGCGUAGAAGUUAAAAUAUUUGGUCUGUUCGACCAUUAAAACUUUACAUGA
rnacentral:rRNA from 1 species